rnacentral:rRNA from 1 species
UUGGCUUAGAAGCAGCCAUCCUUGAAAGAGUGCGUAAUAGCUCACUGGUCAAGUGAUCGUGCGCCGACAAUGUAGCGGGGCUCAAGCACACCGCCGAAGCUGCGGAUCCUCAACAAUACCCUGUCAAGUUUUUUUGGCCAGGGGUUGGGGGUGGUAGGGGAGCGUUGUGUACUGGGUGAAGCGGCUAAGUGAUUAUGUCGUGGACGGUACGCAAGUGAGAAUGCAGGCAUGAGUAGCGAUACUAGGGUGAGAAACCCUAGCGCCGAAUGACCAAGGGUUCCAGGGCUAGGCUAGUCCGCCCUGGGUGAGUCGGGUCCUAAGGCGAGGCCGACAGGCGUAGUCGAUGGGUAACCGGUUGAUAUUCCGGUACCGGCUGGUGACCGUCAAGUGUUGACUGAAAGGUACUAACCCACGCCAGGAACAUGAUUGAAUGCCUUUGGGUGUUUGGUUGUGGUUUUGGUUUGGGGACAGGCUUUCUUGGUAGGCAAGCGUGUGGAGUGACGCACAGUGGAAGCCUUCGCGAGGUGAUGGAUACCCUCGUUUAACCGUGUAGCUUACUGCCUAGGUAAAUCCGGGUGGUUUUAUGUGAGGCGGGAUGAUGACCAUCUUUUGGGUGGGAAGUAGGGGUGAUCCUGUGGUGCCGAGAAAAGCUUCGACGCGAGGUGGCUGGCCGCCCGUACCCUAAACCGACACAGGUGGUCGGGCAGAGUAUGCCUAGGCGCACGAGAUAAUCAUGGUUAAGGAACUCGGCAAAAUGCCCCCGUAACUUCGGGAGAAGGGGGGCCUGAUACUUGAUGAAACCGCUUUUGUGGCUUUCUAGGGUUGAGGGUCGCAGAGACCAGGGAGAAGCGACUGUUUACUAAAAACACAGGUGCGUGCGAAGCCGUAAGGCGAUGUAUACGUACUGACGCCUGCCCGGUGCUGGAAGGUUAAGAGGAACUGUCAGCCCUUUUUUGGGUGAAGCGGUGAAUUUAAGCCCCAGUAAACGGCGGUGGUAACUAUAACCAUCCUAAGGUAGCGAAAUUCCUUGUCGGGUAAGUUCCGACCUGCACGAAUGGCGUAACGACUUCUCCGCUGUCUCAACCGCGAACUCGGUGAAAUUGCAGUACGAGUAAAGAUGCUCGUUUCGCGCAGAAGGACGGAAAGACCCCGGGACCUUUACUAUAGCUUGGUAUUGGUGUUCGCUUGGACUUGUGUAGGAUAGGUGGGAGACUGUGAAGGCGCCGCGCCAGCGGUGGUGGAGUCGUCGUUGAAAUACCAUUCUGGUUCAAGCGGUCACCUCAACCUAGACCCGUGAUCCGGGUUGGGGACAGUGCCUGGUGGGUAGUUUAACUGGGGCGGUUGCCUCCUAAAAUGUAACGGAGGCGCUCAAAGGUUCCCUCAGCCUGGUUGGUAAUCAGGUGGCGAGUGCAAGUGUACAAGGGAGCUUGACUGUGAGACCGACGGGUCGAGCAGGUGCGAAAGCAGGAACUAGUGAUCCGGCCAUGGCACGUGGGUGCGUGGUCGCUCAACGGAUAAAAGGUACCCCGGGGAUAACAGGCUGAUCUUGCCCAAGAGUCCAUAUCGACGGCAUGGUUUGGCACCUCGAUGUCGGCUCGUCGCAUCCUGGGGCUGGAGCAGGUCCCAAGGGUUGGGCUGUUCGCCCAUUAAAGCGGUACGCGAGCUGGGUUUAGAACGUCGUGAGACAGUUCGGUCCCUAUCCUCUGCGCGCGUUGGAAACUUGAGAAGGGCUGUCCCUAGUACGAGAGGACCGGGACGGACGAACCUCUGGUGUGCCAGUUAUCCUGCCAGGGGUAUGGCUGGUUUGCUACGUUCGGGAUGGGUAACCGCUGAAAGCAUCUAAGCGGGAAACUAGCUUCGAGAUUAGGUUUCCGUCCCAUAUGGGGGGAGGUUCCCGGUAGAUUACCGGGUUGAUAGGCUAGGAGUGUAGACAUUGUAAGGUGACCAGCUUACUAGUACUAAUUGACCGAUUACUAACAAU